GAAAUGCGAUAAGUAGUGUGAAUUGCAGAAUUCAGUGAAUCAUCGAAUCUUUGAACGCACAUUGCGCCCCUUGGUAUUCCAUGGGGCAUGCCUGUUCGAGCGUCAUUUGUACCUUCAAGCUUUGCUUGGUGUUGGGUGUUUGUCUCGCCUCUGCGUGUAGACUCGCCUCAAAACAAUUGGCAGCCGGCUUAUUGAUUUCGGAGCGCAGUACAUCUCGCGCUUUGCACUCAUAACGACGACGUCCAAAAGUACAUUUUUACACUCUUGACCUCGGAUCAGGUAGGGAUACCCGCUGAACUUAAGC
rnacentral:misc_RNA from 1 species